UACGUAGGGUGCGAGCGUUGUCCGGAAUUAUUGGGCGUAAAGAGCUUGUAGGCGGUUUGUCGCGUCUGCUGUGAAAUUUCGGGGCUCAACCCCGAACUUGCAGUGGGUACGGGCAGACUAGAGUGAUGUAGGGGAGACUGGAAUUCCUGGUGUAGCGGUGAAAUGCGCAGAUAUCAGGAGGAACACCGAUGGCGAAGGCAGGUCUCUGGGCAUUAACUGACGCUGAGGAGCGAAAGCAUGGGGAGCGAACAGG
rnacentral:rRNA from 1 species